rnacentral:rRNA from 1 species
UACGAAGGGGGCUAGCGUUGUUCGGAAUUACUGGGCGUAAAGCGGGCGCAGGCGGCUUCUCAAGUCAGGGGUGAAAGCCCAGAGCUCAACUCUGGAAUUGCCUUUGAGACUGAGUGGCUUGAGUACGAGAGAGGUGAGUGGAAUUCCCAGUGUAGAGGUGAAAUUCGUAGAUAUUGGGAAGAACACCGGUGGCGAAGGCGGCUCUCUGGAACGCAACUGACGCUGAGACGCGAAAGCGUGGGGAGCAAACAGG